AUACAGUGGUCAGUAUUACAUUAAAGUUUCCAGAAAUAUAUGUAGAUCAACGCUUGUACUUUUGUACAUAUAUAUAUUUUAGUGAGCAGGGUCAAUAUCUGCUGUUCUCUGGGACGAUGACAACGAAUUCAAGAUAAAACUUCAAAAUUAUGCUAUAACUCGGUUCGAAAUCAAUUAGGGCGACGACAGCUUAUCCAGAACACAAAUUUAGCUGAAAAUGGUACCUUUCGCCUUAGACAACAAAACAAUGAAAGCAACAAAUUGGGGGAAAAACUACUUGCAAAUAUUAAGAGUGGCUAUCUUUAUGUACUUACUUAUAUACACAAAGUCGUUUGUAUAUGCGUGUUAAAUUGUUAUUGUUAUUUGACUUGCAACAAUUCCACUUUGCAAAACAAAACCCAGGGUGGCAUUAUCUGGCCAGGGCUGCAUUUACACAAAAUUGGACCAGGCGUAAAAGGCGAGAAUUUGCUUAUUUCCUAUCGCCCUGCAAUCUGAUGAACAAA